rnacentral:rRNA from 1 species
CCCAAGGGUUGGGCUGUUCGCCCAUUAAAGUGGUACGCGAGCUGGGUUCAGAACGUCGUGAGACAGUUCGGUCCCUAUCCGUCGCAGGCGUAGGAAAUUUGAGAAGACCUGUCCUUAGUACGAGAGGACCGGGAUGGACGUACCUCUGGUGUACCAGUUGUCCUGCCAAGGGCAUGGCUGGGUAGCUAUGUACGGAAUGGAUAAGCGCUGAAAGCAUCUAAGCGCGAAGCCAACUUCAAGAUAAGAUUUCCCACCGCAAGGGUAAGACCCCAGAAAGACUAUCUGGUUGAUAGGUCGAAGGUGUAAGUGCAGCAAUGUAUUUAGCUUAUCGAUACUAAUAGGUCGAGGACUUGACCAAU